GACGAACGCUGGCGGCGUGCUUAACACAUGCAAGUCGAACGGAAAGGCCUCUUUCGGGGGGUACUCGAGUGGCGAACGGGUGAGUAACACGUGAGUAACCUGCCCUUGACUUUGGGAUAACUUCAGGAAACUGGGGCUAAUACCGGAUAGGAGCUCUUGCUGCAUGGUGGGGGUUGGAAAGUUUCGGCGGUUGGGGAUGGACUCGCGGCUUAUCAGCUUGUUGGUGGGGUAGUGGCUUACCAAGGCUUUGACGGGUAGCCGGCCUGAGAGGGUGACCGGCCACAUUGGGACUGAGAUACGGCCCAGACUCCUACGGGAGGCAGCAGUGGGGAAUAUUGCACAAUGGGUGGAAGCCUGAUGCAGCAACGCCGUGUGCGGGAUGACGGCCUUCGGGUUGUAAACCGCUUUCGCUCAUGACGAAGCUUUGUGUGACGGUAGUGGGUAAAGAAGCACCGGCUAACUACGUG
rnacentral:rRNA from 1 species